AUCAAGGAUAGGUGGAGUAGUCGUACAUCCAAGCUUUUAAAACCACCUCAAGGAUAGAAUCUUGAGAAAGCCAACAGUACUAAGAAGAAGAUUCUCCUCCUUUUUGUCGGUUCAAGAUAUGAAAGAAGGAUAGGAGUAUGAUCUGAAUAUGGAUUGGGGAAGCAGACUGAAUGGAGUUAGGGCAUAAAGAGUCCCAUUCAAAAGAAAAAAGAAAGCUAUCUAGCUUUACCAAGAUGGGAGGGCCCCAUUGCUUCAAGUGAAAGUUUAGCCCUUUAGUGGUAGAUCCAUUAGUUACAA
rnacentral:lncRNA from 1 species